UAUAUAUUUUAUGUAGUAAAGAAUGGAGACUGGCAGUUGACUUUGCUGAAGAAAAGUCUCUUCCAAUGGAUUGUCAAUUUCUCCUCAACAAGUGCUUUGUCUAAUACAUUACACCAAGUUUGAGAAAAACAAGAUCCAGCGGAUGAAAAUACAACAAAAAAAGAGGCAGCGCUGGAUUGUCAAUUUCUCCUCAACAAUAGCUCUCUCUAAUACAUUAGAGCAAGUUGAAGAAAAUAUACAUCAAGUUAAAAGUGGAAGGAAGAACGAGAGAACAAAGAACAGACCUUUUUUUAAAUCUCCAUCUGUUAGACUCGUAAAUUACUUGAUCUAAUUACGUACAAACAUGUCAAGGACUUGGGCAUUGGUCUUGACAUGAAUGAGGGCAAAACAGUGCAACACAGGUUCAAGGUGUUUGGGUGUUGGCAAGGCAACUUGAACAUGCAAGGCUUAAGUGCGGGCUAGAGUCAUCGGCAAGGCAGCGUGUUGGCUUGACAAGGCAAAACUGUGAAGACUUGACGAUGGUAAGAACAAAGGCAUUCCACGUAAAUUGCUGAAAUAAAACCAAGUGUUGGAGGACAACUAAAAUAUUCUAAGUGUUGGAAGCUGGCUGAAAUAAUCUAAGUGUUGGAAUGUAGCCUGAAAUAUUCUAAGUGUUAAAAUAUUAAUAUUUCGUGUGGAUAAGGAUGUAAUUUAAAUUAGAGUCUAUCUGUUAGAAAUAUAUCUGUUGGAAACUUAGUUUGAAUCUUGUGAUGACAAGUGUCGGACAUGUGUCAUUUGUAACUGCCGCAUGUAACUGCCAUGUGCAGAAAUUUUAAUAAGGGUGGAAAUUUUGUUUAAGGCUUAGAGGAGUGUGUUUUCUGGCCUUAGACAAAUUCGUGAAGCCUUCCCUUUGUAUUAAUUAUCAGAUUAAUAAAGGUUGGACGAGUUCCUUUAAA